GGGUUGUGAGGUUAAGUGACUAAGCGUACACGGUGGAUGCCUAGGCAGUCAGAGGCGAUGAAGGGCGUGCUAAUCUGCGAAAAGCGUCGGUAAGGUGAUAUGAACCGUUACAACCGGCGAUACCCGAAUGGGGAAACCCAGUGUGUUUCGACACACUAUCAUGUCAUGAAUACAUAGUGGCAUGAGGCGAACCGGGGGAACUGAAACAUCUAAGUACCCCGAGGAAAAGAAAUCAACC
rnacentral:rRNA from 2 species